GCGCAGCAGGCAAGAAACCUCCGCAAUACACGAAAAGUGUGACGGGGCCAUCCCGAGUGCCGUCCGCUGAGGACGGCUUUUCCCCAGUGUACAUAGCUGGGGGAAUAAGGAGAGGGCAAGCCUGGUGUCAGCCGCCGCGGUAAUACCAGCUCUCCGAGUGGUGGGGACGCUUAUUGGGCCUAAAGCAUCCGUAGCCGGCUAGGCAAGUCCUCCGUUAAAUCCAACGAUUCAAUCGUUGGGCUGCGGGGGAUACUGGUCCAGCUUGGGGGCGGGAGAGGCCGACGGUAUUCCCGGGGUAGGGGUGAAAUCCUAUAAUCCCGGGAGGACCACCAGUGGCGAAGGCUGUCGGCUAGGAACGCGCCCGACGGUGAGGGAUGAAAGCGUGGGGGAGCGGAACCGGAUUAGAUACCC
rnacentral:rRNA from 1 species